GGGGCCAUAGCUCAGCUGGGAGAGCACCUGCUUUGCAAGCAGGGGGUCGUCGGUUCGAUCCCGUCUGGCUCCACCA
rnacentral:tRNA from 49 species